UACGUAGGGAGCGAGCGUUAUCCGGGUUUAUUGGGUGUAAAGGGUACGUAGGCGGCUUAACAGGUCUGUGGUUUAAGCCCGGAGCUCAACUCCGGUUCGCCACAGAAACCGUUUUGCUUGAGUAUGGUAGAGGCAAGUGGAAUUUCUAGUGUAGCGGUUAAAUGCGUAGAUAUUAGAAGGAACACCAGAGGCGAAGGCGACUUGCUGGGCCAUUACUGACGCUGAGGUACGAAAGCGUGGGGAGCAAAUA
rnacentral:rRNA from 1 species